CUUGGUCACUUUAACCCUCCAACUUACUCUGUGACUGCCUUUUGGAAAGAACAGCAAGACCAAUCUGGGUGUAGAAGGAGAAAUAUGCAGCACUAUUGGUCAGUGGAUCCCGUCCUUCUCAGUGCUGACCUUCUUCAUCUAGGCUUCCCAUGUUGAGUCCCACCUCCUGAUCCAAGAAUCUUGCAUCAAUUUUCCAUCUCUUGGAGGGAUUUAUAACUGACAUUUGAUCUUACA